UACGUAGGUGGCAAGCGUUGUCCGGAAUUAUUGGGCGUAAAGCGCGCGCAGGUGGUUUCUUAAGUCUGAUGUGAAAGCCCACGGCUCAACCGUGGAGGGUCAUUGGAAACUGGGGAACUUGAGUGCAGAAGAGGAAAGUGGAAUUCCAAGUGUAGCGGUGAAAUGCGUAGAGAUUUGGAGGAACACCAGUGGCGAAGGCGACUUUCUGGUCUGUAACUGACACUGGGGCGCGAAAGCGUGGGGAGCGAACAGG
rnacentral:rRNA from 1 species